rnacentral:lncRNA from 7 species
GGCGCGGCGUCACUUUCCCUUAACUUCUCGCGCUGGAAGAGGCAGCUGCCUGCUUUUGCCGCAGCUGAAAAGGAGGAGGAAGAAAAUGAUCGGCCGGAUUGGAUGGCGACGGCGGGCGGAAGCGGAACCUUCUUGCUUGGCCGCUGACCAUGACACCUGGCCCCGCUUUGCAGCCCGUGGAGGACUCUUGGCAGCUUUUACGCGUGCCGCCGGUGUGCGUGCGUUGUCUAGGCAAGGCACGGCAAGCAGAGCACGCGAGGGCGGAUGAGGAAUUUUGACACUGCAAAAAUCCCAAAUCCGCAAG